UGUCACUAGUCCGGGACCGGGCCCGGAGCGCGGAGAAGAGGGCCCCCCGGGUGAAAAUGGACAGCCCGGAACGACUAACCCUCCCCACCGGACGGUCCCUGCAGCAUAGAUGGCCCGGACCAGCUCACCCUUCCUUCCCACUGAGGGGAGCUCACCCGCAACAUGUGAUCAACGCUGUCCCCGUAGGCCAAUACCUCCGUAUUCUGAGAAUUUUUAGUCUGGAGAAGACUUUGAGAAGCAGGCCAAGAUAAUGCAACUAAGAUUUUGUAAACGUGGAUACAGCCAUAGAUCUUUGAAAAAAGCAUACCAACAAGUAAAAGAGACACCUAGACAUACCCUUCUGCAUGAAAAGAAGGUAAAAGUCCCAGAUGACUCAAUCUGCUUUGUAACUGACUAUAAUUCGCAAUGGACAAAGAUGAAACACUGUAUUUGAAAACAUCUACCUAUCCUGAGAACAGAUCCAAUUUUACGACACUACAUAUCCUCCAAUUUGAAAAAGACUGCCAGAAGAUCCAAGAAUUUACGCGAUAUACUCAUCUAAAUGCGGAAAGGGUCAUGUGAUGCCGGGUUGCUGUGGAUACGAGGGAGGCUCGAGCGGAUCAGCAGAUGAAGUAUUUACCAACGUAACUUCCAGCACCGUGCGUUGCGUCCUGUCAAAUAUCUACGGCAACAACGACAUCUGACCGCGCACUGGAGUGAUGUUAUCACGGAUAUGAUGUAGUAGAGUCAGUUGCAAGAAGGUGACGCUCCUACUCCAAUUGAAGUCCUAAUUGGGGGGGAGACAUAUAA